UAAAAAUCUGAGGAAAGUAGCUUGUGAAGGUAAGAAUAGGAGAAGCACCUUAGGGUGUUGAGAAAGAUGGCCUGGAGGGGGAGAAACUGACUGGAGGGGGAGAAUAAGGAGGUUGUAAAACCCGGAAGGUUAAGCUAAAGAUAAGCUUCAUCUACCUCCUGGUUCAUGCAAGACCUGUCUUAACAAAUUUCUGAACCGAGAUACAUAAUUUUCUUACACUGAUGACACGUUGCUUGAGGGCUGAUGCUAUCCAAGAUUAUCUACUAAAGGGCAGAAGAAACAGAACCAGAUCUGGAAAGAGUCUGGCCAGGGCUCAGCUGUGAGAGUGAAGGGAAGGAGCCCAGGGCUUACAGUGAGGUAGUUGGGGCAUUCUCUGAGCGCAGAGAUCUUUCAACUUCUCUUAAAUUCAUUUAAAAAUAGAUACACAAUGCUUUGCUGACCAUUCCAGUGUCCUUAAAGAAUAAAUCUGUGGCCAUUUUCCCUAUUGUCAUCGUGAAGACACAUUUGCUCUCAAUUGAUCCAUGAAGAGGGCUAUUCUGGGCACUUUAAAAAGCAGGUUAAUAAAGUAGAAAUGGUUUCUUUUUCUCUAAGAGCUUGCAGAUUGUGAGAGAGAAUAGUUUAAAAGCUUACUUUGUGUAAAAACAGAAAUUAUAGAACGUAGCUUCUCACAGUGAAGUGCUGAACGACCAUGUGAUGAUCCAAUUGGUUAAAAACACCCCUUAAUUGAGUUUAGGUCACUAACUUUGGCGUUGCCCCCCACGGUAGCCCAUAUUUCAAGAAUAUUCAAUAUUAAAUGCAUCCAGAUUAAUUUAAUAAUCCAUUUAAAGUAACAAUGAUGGAGAAUUGUCAUAAAAUUUUCCAUCCAGGUUAAAUUUUUUCUUCAAAAGAGCAUUAUGUUUAUAAGAUUAAAAACAAAUAAUUCAAGCUCUAAAAGUUACUUUUCCCUACAAAAAAACUAUUGUGAAAUUCUAUUUUUUUUUCAAAGCAGAGAGUAACAAAAGCAGGGGGAAGGUAGGAAAGGAACAGAAAAGUGGAUUUAAGAGAUAAUGUAUUGCAUUUAAAGAAUUUGAAUGCCAUUACUUUUCAUCACUUAACUUUUCAAAGAACACUUUCAGCUUCCUUAUUUGCAUGUUUCAUUGUUUUCCAGCCUUUAAGCACUGUAUGUUUAAAAUGCAAAUGGAAUAAUAUAAGAAAAAUGAGAAGUAAUACUUGGAAAUGUUCUGUGAAAAUGUUGAAAGAGGGCCUGGUUUCCAUCUGAUUGAAAGGAGGUGAGGCUUGAGAGAGCAAUCAGACUGGAUAUAUUUAUUUUACCUUAAGGUCUAACUAGUAGCCCAUUGCUAGUCCUCUUUCUCUUGUGUACUGUUGAAAAUUAGUUAACAUUUCCUUUUUCAUGACUCUCUUAUUAUUUAUUUAUUUCUCUUAUUCUUCACAUUAGGUACCUAUCAAUCAGUUAACCUCAAUUCAAUGAACAUUUAUUGAGCACUUAUUAACUAGCCAUUGUCAUAUCUGGAAUGUAGAAUCAAUAGUUCUCUAUUAAGAAAAGCAGGGUUUGGAUAAGAGACAAACAUGGGGAAACAUUUGUCAGCCUCCUGCUCCACCCCUUUUGAUAUCUGACUCUCCACUGGAUGGGCUAAAAAAUCAGACGUCUUGGGUUGGAGUCCUGCAUUGCCAUUUCUCAAACAUGCUACUUACCUUCUCUGAGCCUCCAUCUCCUCACCUGUAAAAGGGAAUGAUAACAUCUUUGGUGGCUGUGAUGACUGAGACAAUACAAAUAAGAUGCUUAUAGCAAUAGCGCAGAUGAUCUCUUUCCUUUGGUUUGUGAUGCAACAAAGAAAGUGUAGGGUGACCAGACAUCAUAGUUUGCCUGAGACUGAUGAAUUUCCUGGGACAUGGUUCUGUCAGUUUUAAAAUGGAAUGGUGCCAGACAAAUCUGGAUGAAGUUGUCAGCCUAGAGACAGAAGGAUGUGUAUUCAGUUAGUCUUAAUCCCAACUUGAAUAAAUCAAAUUACAUGCUAGAAGAACAAAGUUAUACUGGGGCAUAGAGCACAGCAUAGCAAAUUCCUUCACAAAGAAGAAGGAAAGAGCAUGUCAUACAGAGGGAGCUGAAGAAGCAAAGGCAUGGAGCUGUGCUUCUAGAAACAUAUUCUAUCUUCAGAAUCAAACUGGCGUCAGUGCUGAGAUCUAAGCCACAAGCUCAUGCUAGGAGAAAUAUUCUUACCUUGAAAAAACACAUACAAUUUAUUAAAUCAAAGAAAUCAGCAACAGCUGUGUGGAAGAUAAAGAUAAAGAAGAAAUAAUUUGUGGAAGAAAUAUUUUGGGACACUUUCCUCCUCUGGCAACUUUCCCUUAAUACAUACAAAAGAAAGAAAUGGGUCAGCAUCCCCACUCCGGAAUGGUUGCGUAAGCAAGAGGAGUCUUUUAAAGGUGAGAGUGGAUGUAGGUAUUUAGAUUUGGGUCUCUUGUGGGCCUAAGUGUCUCCUGUUCAUGUGCCUUCUCUAGAGAUAUAGUCUGUGAGAUCUCAUUUUUUUUGAGACAGCCCCAAGUACCGAAAACAUAGACUUUUUUUUUUCCUUGAGAGCACAAUGGAAGCCUCUAUUUUUAUCUUGGCUGGAAAUGAAAGGGAAUGCUUCCAAAUGUUUCAAAUCUUCAGAUGUCUUUAGUUUGGAUGGAAUAAUAUGAAAGAUGAAGGCUGGCGGGGAUGUGAUUGAAGUCUAUAAAGUCACGAAGGGUCUGAGCAGGGUGAAUACAGAUUUGCUCACCAAAUCUCUGAAAGCUAAAGCCAAGGGCAAUGCCUUAAAGCUUAAAGGGUGAACUCUUUGCACUUAAUUGCACCUUAGCAAACAUUCCUUUAGUUACAAAGAAAAUAGAGUAGAAUUCGAAGAGGCUGAUGGGGAGUUUACCUCGAGAGGCGCUAACUGGACAUGUGAGUAAACUCUGGGAGAGUUUAGGUUUAUGUUCUGCAUCGAAUCUGCAGCUGAAAGGCUUGGAUUAGAGAAUACUUCAAGAGUCUCUGACAUCCUGUGGCUUUGUAUGUGAUUAGUGAAAAAAUUAUGGGGUGCUUCUGGGUGCGUCCCUACCUUUCAGAGGCUGACAUGGUAUAAGAAUAUAAUAAGUUCCUUAGUGUCAAAAUUGGAGACUCCCUACUGGAUCCAGAGUGUCUCACCUUUGCAGGUCCUCACUUCUCAUGAGGUGAGUUUAUCCAGGGGGAAAGUAAUUUCUGAAUUCUUAAAGUAAUUGUUGAAUUCUUAAUUGCCCACAUUGUUAUAUGAAAAAGCAGAAGAGAAUGUCCAAACCCUUGAGAUUUAUCAGAUGCUCCUAAUGAAAUCAUAUUAGUAUUAGCAACAAAACAGACACAUUUAGUUAAGUUCCAAUAUAUUUGUUUCUUGACCUGCCAUGAUUCUAUUAGUUUUAAAAAACAC